rnacentral:rRNA from 1 species
UACGAAGGGGGCUAGCGUUGCUCGGAAUUACUGGGCGUAAAGGGCGCGUAGGCGGAUACUUAAGUUAGAGGUGAAAGCCCAGGGCUCAACCCUGGAACAGCCUUUAAUACUGGGUAUCUUGAGUUCGGGAGAGGUGAGUGGAACUCCGAGUGUAGAGGUGAAAUUGGUAGAUAUUCGGAAGAACACCAGUGGCGAAGGCGACUCACUGGCCCGAUACUGACGCUGAGGCGCGAAAGCGUGGGGAGCAAACAGG